CCACGCAGUAUGGUGGUUAUGACAUUCGGCUUGUAAUCGAGUGGGCUCGGGUUCGAAUCCCGAAUAAGAUGUGGA